CUAUGUAGUUUAACAAAGAAGUCUGUGCGUAAGGGAAGGCUAUUUGGUUCCAUCAGACACCAAACGUUAAAAAAAAAAAAAAAAAAAAAGCAUCCAUUUCAAAUAAAUUUGGUUGCGUCAUUAUUACUUACAAUAUUACUUUCGUUUCUCAAAAUUUUUAAAUUUUUUUCUGUUCUUUUUUGAUUCCGAUUUGAAUCUCAUUUCUCCAGAUCCGAUCUUAGGGUUUCUCUUCUUCUCCUUCUGGAUCCUUACUGAAUUCUCUUUUGCUUUUGAAUCUGCAAAUCAAUUUAGACAAUUGAGAAAAAAAAAUGGAAGCGAUCGAAGAAUUAACGCAGCUAUCGGAAUCAAUGAGGCAAGCGAGCGCGUUGCUUGCCGAUGAAGAUAUUGACGAAACGACGACGUCUUCUUCUUCCUCUUCCUCCUCGUCUAGACGAUCGUCUACUUUUCUGAAUGUUGUUGCUCUUGGCAAUGUUGGUGCCGGUAAAUCUGCUGUCUUGAAUAGUCUUAUUGGACAUCCUGUUUUGCCAACCGGUGAGAAUGGUGCAACUCGGGCUCCAAUAAGUAUUGAUUUGAACAGAGAUGGUUCGUUAAGUACCAAGUCAAUCAUUUUACAGAUUGACAAUAAAUCUCAGCAGGUUUCUGCAAGUGCUCUUCGGCAUUCUCUACAGGAUAGGCUAAGCAAGGGUUCGUCAGGAAGGAGUCGUGAUGAAAUUUAUUUGAAACUUCGAACUAGCACAGCUCCACCAUUAAAAUUGAUCGACCUGCCAGGAUUAGAUCAAAGAAUCAUGGAUGACUCACUGAUCAGUGAAUAUGUUGAACACAAUGAUGCUAUUUUGCUGGUUGUAGUACCUGCUGUUCAGGCACCGGAAAUCUCAUCAUGCAAAGCCCUUAGAAUUGCAAAGGAAUAUGAUGCAGAAAGUACUAGAACAAUUGGUGUUAUUAGUAAGAUUGAUCAAGCAGCUACAGAGUCAAAAGCUCUUGCUGCUGUUCAGGCACUUCUCCUGAACCAGGGACCGCCAAAAACAUCUGAUAUUCCAUGGGUUGCAUUGAUUGGCCAAUCUGUAGCUAUAGCUUCCGCACAGUCAGGAAGUGCUUCAUCUGAGAAUUCUUUAGAGACAGCUUGGCGUGCUGAGAGUGAAAGUCUUAAAUCCAUACUGACUGGAGCCCCCCAAAGCAAGCUUGGGAGAGUAGCUUUGGUGGAAGCUCUGGCUGGUCAGAUUCGUAAUCGGAUGAAACUCAGGCUUCCCAAUCUUCUUUCUGGGCUUCAGGGGAAAUCUCAAAUAGUUCAGGAUGAACUAGUGAGACUUGGUGAGCAAAUGGUUAGUAGUUCUGAAGGGACAAGAGCUUUAGCUUUGGAGCUCUGCCGUGAGUUUGAGGAUAAAUUCCUUCAGCAUCUUGCUGGUGGUGAAGGUAAUGGCUGGAAGGUUGUUGCAAGUUUUGAGGGAAAUUUUCCAAACAGAAUCAAGCAGCUUCCUUUAGACAGGCAUUUUGACAUGAACAAUGUCAAAAGGAUUGUCCUAGAAGCGGAUGGUUACCAACCUUAUCUUAUAUCACCGGAGAAAGGGUUAAGGUCCUUAAUAAAAGGUGUCCUAGAGCUGGCAAAGGAGCCUGCACGUCUAUGUGUGGAUGAGGUGCAUCGUGUAUUGGUGGAUCUAGUGUCUGCUUCGGCAAAUUCCACUCCUGGUCUUGGAAGAUAUGCUCCCUUUAAGAGAGAGCUUGUGGCAAUUGCAACUGGUGCACUUGAUGGAUUUAAGAACGAAGCUAAGAAAAUGGUGGUUGCUCUAGUCGAUAUGGAGCGUGCAUUUGUUCCACCCCAACAUUUCAUCCGAUUGGUGCAGAGGCGAAUGGAUAGGCAGCGCCGUGAGGAAGAGAUAAAAAACAAAUCCUCUAAGAAGGCAAAUGAAGCAGAGCAAUCCAUACUAAAUAGGGCAACUAGUCCUCAGACAGGAGCCCCACCAUCUGGAGGAAGCUUGAAAUCAAUGAAGGAGAAAUCUGAUAAAGAUUCACAAGAGGGACCAGCCUUGAAAACAGCUGGGGCUGGUGGUGAGAUAACAGCAGGAUUUUUGUUGAAGAAAAGUGGAAAGACAAAUGGUUGGAGUAGACGGUGGUUUGUAUUGAAUGAAAAAAGUGGCAAGCUUGGUUACACCAAAAAGCAGGAAGAAAGACAUUUUCGUGGUGUCAUUUCUUUGGAGGAAUGCAAUAUUGAGGAACCUUCUGAUGAUGAUGAGACCUCAUCAAAAAGUUCCAAGGAUAAAAAGUCAAAUGGACCAGAUAAAGGAGCCAAUCUUGUUUUUAAGAUAAGUAGUAGGGUUCCGUAUAAGACUGUCUUAAAAGCUCACAGCACUGUUGUGUUAAAAGCUGAGAGUAUGGCCGAUAAGGUUGAGUGGCUAAACAAGCUGAGAAGUGUCAUCCAGUCUAAAGGAGGUCAAGUGGUGGGUGAAUCUGGUCUUCCCAUGCGUCACAGUCAUUCUGAUGGUUCGCUUGAUACAAUGAGUAGAAGACCUGCAGACCCUGAAGAAGAGCUCCGGUGGAUGUCCCAAGAAGUGCGUGGUUAUGUUGAAGCUGUUCUUAACAGCCUUGCUGCCAAUGUCCCAAAGGCAGUUGUUCUUUGCCAAGUAGAGAAAGCCAGGGAAGACAUGCUUAAUCAGCUUUAUAGUUCUAUUAGUGCCCAAAGCACUGCUAGGAUUGAAGAGCUGCUCCAGGAGGACCAAAAUGUAAAGCGUAAGAGAGAGCUUUAUCAGAAGCAGUCCUCUCUUCUUUCAAAACUGGUAAGGCAACUUAGCAUCCAUGAUAAUCGAGCAGCAGCUGCAUCAAGCUGGUCCAAUGAUAGUGCAGCAGAAAGUAGCCCAAGAACAAGUGGAGCAUCAUCAGGGGAUGACUGGAGGACUGCAUUUGAUGCUGGAGCUAAUGGACGCGCCGACCCAUAUAGGUCUCACAGUCGGCGGAACAGUGAUCCAUCUCAAAAUGGUGAUGCAAACAGCAGUCGCCGCACACCAACUCGGAUGCCACCAGCACCACCACCAUCCGGCUCAUCCUAUAGAUAUUAGAUGAAGUUUGAUACCGAUUGAUCAUUCAUGUAUUCUUGUUGGGUGGUUCGUUGAUCCCACUCGAGAUGGAGCAUUUCUCGAGCUCACAUCAUGUUAAAUUAGGCUUGCAGGAGUGUUAUAGGAACAUUUGUUUCAAGCUCAGAGCCCCCUGCAGAAGGCCUAUUUUAUUCUUAAUGAGUAAAAUUAAAAGAGGUGGACAGAACUGAUAGCAUCUACAACGUUCAUAAUCCAUUUGAUCAGACUUUUUUUUUUAAAUGGCACACUUGUUGAGAAUAGUUUACUAAUUAGGUAUGUGCAAAAGAUGUUCUUGUAAAUAUAUACAAUGUGAAAGCAGAAAUUCACAGAUCACAUGCAAG